UNCUAGUGGAAUAAACCAGCGGUUUCUUGGA
rnacentral:piRNA from 1 species